CAUGCCUACGUCAACGGUUACCUUGAUAGUGUCGCACUGAAAAUCACGUUCAUUUUGACGUGAAAUCGAUAUUUUUACCCGCAUAUUUAACUGUUUUCAACGCAGCUGUGGAAACAGUACCUGAUUUAUAUUUAUUGCUUUUCCACUGUCAAAGCUCAAAGACUCGAUUUUUAACAGCUCGUUACGAGACAUAUUUAGUGCACACCUUCUUGCAAACGAUGUAUAUGCCGAAAAAUAAGUUUAAUUGUUUUCCGCGUUCUAAAUUCUUCAUCUCAUUUUGUGUUGUGUCUUGUGUCCUUCCGACAAUUCUGAGCUUUCACUUCAGAAGAGGGAACGCAUCGAGCUAUGACUUCAGUGGAAUGAACAUGUCUCCGGUUAUUUUAAGUACAAGCUAAUCUACAAUCGAACCUCGCACAAGAGCAGCAAUCAAGAUGGGGUGAAGACGCGAGUGAUGGGAGAUUUUGGAAGCCUGAAGUCUGUUGAAUAUUUGACGAAGGAUGUAAUCACUAGGAUUGGGACUGGUUACUUCGAUGACAUCGGGAAAGCACUCAGGAAAAGCGGCUACAGUACCGAUCGUAACUUGAAAGGCGCGGCCUACGACGGUCGCUAUGCACCACCGCAACAAGAAGAAAAGUAUGGUUAUUUCACGAGCUUAGCAAAAUUGGUCGAACAGCUUGCCAAUGACUCAGGACGUAAGGUAACACUGGUCUCUCACAGUAUGGGUGGUUUAGUUGGGUCUUACUUCCUGACCAACCAACCACCGGAGUGGAAA
rnacentral:lncRNA from 1 species